rnacentral:lncRNA from 1 species
AUCCUAUGACUUACAGAGUCACUGGUUUGAAUUCACAUGCCAAGAGUCACUGAAGGCAUUAUGGUUGUUUCAGAUCAUGAGAACUGCUGUAGCAACUGACAUUCUUUUCUCAUCAAAUACUCUAUGCAGGUGCCAUCACUGUUUGAUGAAAUGACUCAGAUCUGCCCUAAACAAACUAGGGUUGCUGUGCUACCUCUGAUACAAAUUAGCUAUUUGGCCUUAAAGAAAAGCUACACAGAUUCUUCUGGCUCUUUUCACCUGUGGAAUGAAAAAGUGCCUUUUCAACCUGUUUCGUUUUAUCUUGCUUUUCAACCUUCUCCUCCUUUUUGGGGGGUGGUGGAGUGGCAUACUGCUGUGCCACUUGUAGUGCCACGAGCUGAGAAUUGAUCCGAAGUUUUCUGGUGGAGGUGCUUUUUCUCACGUCGCAGAUGCUGCAUUUAAAGGCUUCAGCGCUGUUUCUGAAGGUACAAACGCUACAAUCCCAAAAGCCUUCGUCUGCAGCAGGCUUUGCUUGUCUUUUUGGCCUGGUUAAAUCUCCCUUUGGGAGGAAUGGCUGCGGCGCCGACAACGGAGGGUGGCUGAGGUGCCACCGCCAUGGCUGCGGCGCUGUGGCUGCUGGCCCCGAGCCCUCUAUAAUUUUAUAUAUUAACUCU